UGCUUCUGAAUUGGAAAUGAAUGAUUACAAAAUGACUAGCAGAGAGCUGUUACCAAGAUAAGUAUGAGUAUAGCAAGAAUCCCAGAAUCAUAGAAUCCAGGUAUUGAAAGUGACCCUAGCAGUCUAUACAUGAAAGGAUUACCCAGUAUAACAUACUAGGCAAGCCUGUGUUUGAUGAUCUCCAAGGACUGAGAACAGCUGAUACAUCCCUGAUACAUUCAAGUCUCUUGGUUCAAGUGAAGAAUAUCUUUGGAUAUUGAAAGAGCAAGCAGAUGUGAUCUCUGAGGGAGUGACACAAUCAGAUACCUGUUUUAGGAAUAUCAUUUGGUACUGUGAAGAAGGUAGAUUGCAGAAAUGAGAAGUUCAAGGACUCGUGACACUUCUGCUGUAAUGGACAGAGAACUAAUCUUGAAAGCAAGAAGAUCUGGAUUCAAGAUCUGCAUCUGAAAAGGAGAGAUGAGCAAACCACUAUAACUAUGAGCAAAACACUAAACUUUCAGUGAAGGAGAGCUUAAUAAAACUGAAAAUAAGAAACUCUGGAACUAAUAAUACUAGGAGAUAAUUUUUAAAAAACAACAUAAUAGAGAAAUCAUUGAUUAAUUUGAUUUUUUAAAAAGGACAAACUACCUAUGUCAAAGAUGAAAAGCAUGAAUUCACCAUCAAUGAAGAAGAAAUUGAAGCAAUUAUUAAGAACUAUUUUCCCAGUAAUUUGUCAAUAAAUCUGACAAUCUAAGCAAAAUGAAUGAAUAUAAAAAUAUAAAUUUCCCAGAUUACUCUUUCAGUGAAAGUUGCUUUCUAAGACUGUAAUUUAUAGAUAAGUUAAUAAUUUGUGUUGGUGGAUGGAGUUUCCACACAGGAAGUCCUCAACAUCAGUAUUUUCACAGGACUCAAUUUUCUUCCCUUCCCCCUAAAUUACAAUGACAUAGCUUAUUUGGAUAUUAUGGCAUUAUCAUCUAUUCCAACUCCUUCAUUUUAUAGAUGAGGAAACAGAAACCCAAUGCUUUGAAGUGACUUACCCAAGAUCACAUAGCCAUAAUCAAAAUUUCUAUCCAGUCCUCUGAUACCAAAUGAUGAGUAAUGAUCUCCUUGAAGUCAAAGACUGUACAGAUUGGUACAGUCCCUUAAUCACAGGAGGUUCUCAAUAAAUGCUUCUUAAGUUAAGAAAAGAGCACUGGACCAAAAAAUACCAUGGAACCUGAUUUCAACUCCACUACUAACUAGGUCAUAAUCUUGGACAAAUCCCUCAACUUUACUAAGCAUCUGUUUUUUCAUAUAUAAAAUGGUAUAUUCAAACUAAAUUAUAUCUCAGUACCACUCCAGUUUUUAAGAUAUUAAUUCUACUCUUUAACAUAUUUUGCUAUUCAUCCAUUCAGUCCUGUCUGACUCUUCAUGACCUCAGGGUGAUGGGGUUUUCUUGGCAAAGAUAGUGUAGGGAUUUGCCAUGUCCUUCUCUAGUGGAUUCAAUGAUUUCUUUUGUUAGAUAAUCAAAGUUUAAGUGACCUUCCCAGGGUCAGAGCUAGGAAGUGUCCGAGGCUGAGAUUUGAACUCAGAUCUGCCUAAUUCCAGAUGCCGAGCUCUUAAACAGAGCCAUAUAUAUUGAUUGAUAGAUUGAUACUUGGACUCCAUUUGCUCCCAUCUUGACUCCUCCCUUUCCUUCUCAAUUAGCAUCAAGCCUUUAGUACAAUAAGACUGUAAGCUAGACAAGAGUAAGCAUUUUUUAAGGAACAACAAAAGUCUAUUAAUGUUCCCUAAGACCCAAGAGAAAAUACAACUAUCAAGAAAAAAGUUAUUUUUAGGCUAAAAAAAGUAACAAACUGAAUUGAGUUGAAUAGUGUUCAGAAAUUAUUCCAUAUGCUGCAUCUGCUAUUACUAUUAUGCUAGCAUUUAUAUAAUGUUCGAAGGUUUGCAAAGUACUUUACAUAAAAUUAUCACAUUUGAUCUUCAUAAUAACCUCAUAAAAGAAAUUGGAUUAUUAUCUAUAUUUUACAGAUGAAGAAAUUGAGGCUGAGUGGUUUAAGUGACUUGUUCAGAGUGACCCAGAAAAUCAGUAUCAGAGACAGGAUUCAAACUCCCAUCAUCUCUUAUAAGAUAAUCAAGACCUUUUUUUUUUCUAUCCAAACCAAUAUCUAACCCAAGAGGAAGUCGGAAAUUAGUCUAAACACAGGUUUAAAAAAAUCCUCAGGUUCCACAGGUAAAAAAAAAAUUUUUUUUUAGGUUCCCAAAUAGAAACUAGAAGUUUGCCCAUCCAUCAGCAUUUUGUUAGGGGUUCAGGGACAUUAAGGACACU